ensembl:misc_RNA Y_RNA Y RNA
GGCUAGUCCAAGUGCAAUGGUAUUUUCAACUAAUUAAUUAUAACCAGUUACAGAUUUCUUUGUUCCUUCUCCACUCCCACUGCUUCACUUGACUAGCUUAAG